ACGUAGGGAGCGAGCGUUGUCCGGAAUUACUGGGUGUAAAGGGAGCGUAGGCGUGAUGGUAAGUUAGGUGUGAAAACUAUGGGCUCAACCCAUAGAUUUCACUUAAAACUGCUGUUCUUGAGGGACGUAGAGGUAAGCGGAAUUCCUAGUGUAGCGGGGAAAUGCGUAGAUAUUAGGAGGAACAUCGGUGGCGAAGGCGGCUUACUGGGCUUUUACUGACGCUGAAGCUCGAAAGCGUGGGGAGCAAACAG
rnacentral:rRNA from 1 species